GUAGGGCGCGAGCGUUGUCCGGAUUUAUUGGGCGUAAAGAGCUCGUAGGCGGCUUGUUGCGUCGACCGUGAAAACCCGCGGCUUAACUGUGGGCUUGCGGUCGAUACGGGCGGGCUGGAGUUCGGUAGGGGAGACUGGAAUUCCUGGUGUAGCGGUGAAAUGCGCAGAUAUCAGGAGGAACACCGGUGGCGAAGGCGGGUCUCUGGGCCGAUACUGACGCUGAGGAGCGAAAGCGUGGGGAGCGAACAGGAUUGGAUACCCUGGUAGUCCACGCUGUAAACGUUGGGCGCUAGGUGUGGGGGGCCUCUCCGGUUUCCUGUGCCGCAGCUAACGCAUUAAGCGCCCCGCCUGGGGAGUACGGCCGCAAGGCUAAAACUC
rnacentral:rRNA from 1 species